rnacentral:rRNA from 1 species
GGGACACGUGGUAUCCUGUCUGAAUAUGGGGGGACCAUCCUCCAAGGCUAAAUACUCCUGACUGACCGAUAGUGAACCAGUACCGUGAGGGAAAGGCGAAAAGAACCCCGGCGAGGGGAGUGAAAAAGAACCUGAAACCGUGUACGUACAAGCAGUGGGAGCACGCUUAGGCGUGUGACUGCGUACCUUUUGUAUAAUGGGUCAGCGACUUAUAUUCUGUAGCAAGGUUAACCGAAUAGGGGAGCCGAAGGGAAACCGAGUCUUAACUGGGCGUUAAGUUGCAGGGUAUAGACCCGAAACCCGGUGAUCUAGCCAUGGGCAGGUUGAAGGUUGGGUAACACUAACUGGAGGACCGAACCGACUAAUGUUGAAAAAUUAGCGGAUGACUUGUGGCUGGGGGUGAAAGGCCAAUCAAACCGGGAGAUAGCUGGUUCUCCCCGAAAGCUAUUUAGGUAGCGCCUCGUGAAUUCAUCUCCGGGGGUAGAGCACUGUUUCGGCAAGGGGGUCAUCCCGACUUACCAACCCGAUGCAAACUGCGAAUACCGGAGAAUGUUAUCACGGGAGACACACGGCGGGUGCUAACGUCCGUCGUGAAGAGGGAAACAACCCAGACCGCCAGCUAAGGUCCCAAAGUCAUGGUUAAGUGGGAAACGAUGUGGGAAGGCCCAGACAGCCAGGAUGUUGGCUUAGAAGCAGCCAUCAUUUAAAGAAAGCGUAAUAGCUCACUGGUCGAGUCGGCCUGCGCGGAAGAUGUAACGGGGCUAAACCAUGCACCGAAGCUGCGGCAGCGACGCUUAUGCGUUGUUGGGUAGGGGAGCGUUCUGUAAGCCUGCGAAGGUGUGCUGUGAGGCAUGCUGGAGGUAUCAGAAGUGCGAAUGCUGACAUAAGUAACGAUAAAGCGGGUGAAAAGCCCGCUCGCCGGAAGACCAAGGGUUCCUGUCCAACGUUAAUCGGGGCAGGGUGAGUCGACCCCUAAGGCGAGGCCGAAAGGCGUAGUCGAUGGGAAACAGGUUAAUAUUCCUGUACUUGGUGUUACUGCGAAGGGGGGACGGAGAAGGCUAUGUUGGCCGGGCGACGGUUGUCCCGGUUUAAGCGUGUAGGCUGGUUUUCCAGGCAAAUCCGGAAAAUCAAGGCUGAGGCGUGAUGACGAGGCACUACGGUGCUGAAGCAACAAAUGCCCUGCUUCCAGGAAAAGCCUCUAAGCAUCAGGUAACAUCAAAUCGUACCCCAAAC